CACUUUUAAUCAUCGAUUUCUAAAGAACAGUAAAUUUCUGCAUUACUUGAGACUUAAUACGUCUAUAUUCUAAAAAUCUUUGGUUGAGCAUUUGUAGUUUUGGAGAAAACUUACAUAGUACGACCAUGGGAAUAUUUCUCGUCGUAGUAUGACCUUUACCCUUCCGAUUGGUAAAAUUUCCUUAUAUGGGAGCAAGGUCACAUACCAGUAUUCGUGAUGUAAGCUAACGUCGGAACCCCACUGUCCAUAUAUGGAAUAGAGCUCGGAAACCUCCGGUAUAUUCCGGACAGGAAACACUACUUCCAUUUAAGGAAAUAUUCGUAAGCUACGAGAACAAUCGGGGUCCUCCGAGGACAAAAAAAGUUUUGUGACGUAAAUCGUCUUGGCUAGACGAAACCUCGUAAAGUUAUAUAUAGACAAGCGAAGAGAAAAAUAGUUGCCUGGCGUUACAGUUGGCAAAGUUCAGUAAUAAUGUACAUGCAUUCAACUUGGAAUGGUGACAUAGAUUCGAGUUGUAGAUAAUGAAGAUGACGUUAGUGGCAGAUCCUAAUGAUGGUUUCAAGGUUGAUUUUUAUUGUGAAGUUAUCCUGAUAAAUGAGGACGAUUAUAUUUCCCUCGUAGAAGUGCUCUUCUUUUGAAGUCUGACAACAAAAUGAAAUUAUCGAGUUCAUCCGAGUGUGCUGUGAGUGAUGUCUAGAUGUUUGUGAUGCAGUUUUGUACUAACAAAUGUACUGAUUGUUCGGAAGACAUAACAAAGAACAUGUAGAGUACGACUGGGAGUUCUCAGACGAAGGAAGGACUCCUGAACCCCCAGGAUUCUGACGGACAGGGCAAAAACUGUCAAAAAUGGACCAAUUUUCAAAAUAUCUUCUCCACAACUGCACAUCUGUAAGAACCAAUAAAUGACUGCUGACAUGUUCGACUUCUAAGAACCUCGGAACCAAUUUCAGGUGAACUUGACACAAGAAAGCGUGUCUGUAACCAAUGGCAGUAUGUAAAUACAGGACAAUGACUCCAGAAUUCCUCUAAAGAACAUCUAAGAAACAAACUCGUUGCAUAUUUACAUCGAGCCAGAGAUCUACACCUAACGCAGAUUCAUGGGUCGGGUGAUAAUGAGUAUGGAAGCCUCAGUCUACUAAAAUUGCAUAUCUCAUGACCCUUGGACCAGCAGUUCAGGCCCCAGGAAAGGAAAUCACACCUUUGUCCUUGUGACCUUCAACUUGAAGUUUGACCUACUUUUCAUCAGGAACUAUUUUAGGUAUAGGGAUUUUGUGUAUAGAUUAUUUAUGACAAGACCUUGUUAUACUUAAAUCUGCUGUUUGACCAUGUGACAGUGACCUGAAACUUUGAUCUACUUUUAAUAAAAACCCUGACCUAUUCAGUAUCUCCUGAAUUAUUUAAGAUAGAGCUUUCAUAUUUUAUAUGUAGAUUUCUUAUUCCUUUUGGGACCCUAGGGUAACCUGAUUAAGAUAGUGCAAUCUCUAGAAUACUCUUUACUCCUGCGUAUCUGGUGCAUAGUUAUACUGAGCGUGAAGGCAUCUACCAAAAUUGUGUAUUUCAUGACCCCUGGGUCAAAUUUCAGGGUGGAGCUAUAUGGAUCAAACAGUGAAUAUACAUUCAUUGGUGAGGUCUUAUUUGAGUGAAAAAGUCUUGAAGGGAAUGUAAAAUGUAACAUACAAACAAACAAAACAUUAAAUGUUUAAAAAUCGCAACUAUUCCUGAGUAUCUAGUACAAACUAAAAUUUUCAAGAUAUCUUUUAACCUUCAUCAUAUCUUUUACAAUAUAAGAGGUACAGAUUUCAUAUUUGACAUGUGUAUUUCUUGUGGCAAUACCUUUGCAUUGGUACCAAUCUUGACCUGUGACCUUUACAUUGACCUUUGACUUAUUUUUAGAAAAUUUGAAUAUAAGCCAUAUCUUUUAAAUCAUAAGACUCCUGGUACUGUUUUUAUACCUUUGACUUUUCAAAAAUUCUAAUAUAAGCCAUAAUUUUUUCCCUGCAAGGCACUGCUUUCAUAUUUAGCAUGUGCAUUUCCAUUGGUACUAAAUUUGGUGACCUUGAAAUUGACCUUUGACCUACUUUGAAAACUUUGCUAAAAUAUUGUAGUCUGGGGGCAUUCAGUGUUUCACAAACACUUUUGUUUUAAAUUGUAACCUCAGCUAGUGUUUUCCUAAUCCUUUUCUGAAUGCUAUUUGAUGAAGUAUUGUUGUUUUAUGUUUAUAUAGAUAUAUGCUAGGCUCUAAAUGAAAGAAGGAAAUAUCUGUUUUGUCCACAGCUUUUUAAUUGAUAAAGAAUAAGUUUUCAAAGAAUGUUACAUCUUUGUCACCACGUUGUCCAACGUUUGAAAUAACUGGAAAUUACAAAAACAUGUCUUUCUUUUGUGAAAUUAUGACAUUUUUAAUGAAGCCUUGUAUUGGCAAGAUAGAGUCAAAAUUUGUAUCAAAGCUUUCUUAUAUAAAAAAUUUUGUUCAAGCUAUGAAUAUCUGUCACAGUAGCCAAGUGGUUAGGGCACUCACUCAGGAGGUCCCAGGUUUGAUUCUCCAGCACUGCUUCAAACCUAACUAUCAUGAACCUUAAGUAGUGACUAGUGAUUACUUCUCCAUCAAGUGCCCAGCAUUAAAUGCAAAAGUCACAGGUCUUUCAGAAAUUACUUUUAAUCACGGUAGGUGUGGACACCAUAAAGAAACCUUGCUACAAUAGCUUUGUACAUCAAGCAUAGGUCAAAACAUAAAAGUGAAACUCUCAGAUGGAAUGUGAAACAACAAACAAAAAUAUCAAGCCAGGAGUAUCCUGUCAUGUAGUUGACCUCAUGCCAAGGGUAGGCUACAAUGACCUCAAGCCAAGGGCAGGCUACAAUGACCUCAUGCCAAGGGCAGGCUACAAUGACCUCAUGCCAAGGUCAGGCUACAAUGGGGCUUUAACAUAUGUAUUAGGAAAAUGCAAUAGGUCAGGUGAGUGUUGUAGCUCGUGGGCCUUUUGUUUAAAUGUCAGAUAGUUAGAAAGAGGGGCUUUCUGACUAUGUGGGAUCACCAUCCUUAAACAACCUCUCACAGGAACCGUAUUGUGGUAUUGAUAUGAGCAGUCAGCUACACUUCAUUUUGUAACUCAUCACAGAUUUGCCGAUGUCAAUGACCAUAAUUACCAGAAAUAACAAAGGAAGUGUGGGUGGAAUUCUUCUUAACAACUUUUUACAAAAUUAGCCAUUUUCUCAAAUUCUCAGUUUUUACUGAUUCUGAUUUUGAAAGUAUUUGAUGGAAAGGUCAUAUGACAAUAGAUUAUCAAAAGAUGGAGAAAGAAAAAUCAAUAUAUACUGGGGAAUGCCUUCCUGCUUCAGGGACUGAUUGUGUGUAUACUCCAUUAUGACAUGUUAUUAACAUUAGAAUAUAACCAUCAGCCUGACAUUUGUAUUUCCACCAGCUCUGCAUUGUUAAACAAAGACACCCACUGAAGACUGAUUGAAGCAUUUCAUGAUUGGUUAGGAGGAAAUCUUGGGCUCAGAUAUGUUGCAGACUUGAGAGGAAAUUGCAUGACUAAAUGGAUUUUUGACGAGGAUUUUACUUUGUAUGAUACAAAAUAAAAUGAAUGUGUACAUUGUUA